ACGCUGGUAGCGUGGAUUAGGCAUGCAAGUCGAACGGGAUCCGCGAGGUAGCAAUACUGAGCGGUGAGAGUGGCGGAUUGGGGAGGAACACGUGAGCAACCUGUCCUUGAGUCGGGGAAAACCGCGGGAAACUGCGGCUAAUACCGGAUGUGGCGUCCGACGACAUCGUCGGAGCGCUAAAGGGGGCCCGCAAGGGCUCUCGCUCUUCGAGGGGCUCGCGCACCAUCAGCUUGUUGGCGGGGUAACGGCCCACCAAGGCGUACGGUUAGCUGGUCUGAGAGGAUGACCAGCCCCACUGGGACUGAGAUACUGCCCAGACUCCUACGGGAGGCUGCAGUCGAGGAUCAUUUGCAAUGGGCGAAAGCCUGACAAUGCGACGCUGCGUGGAGGAUGAAGGCCUUCGGGUUGUAAACUCCUGUCAUAUGGGAACAGGCGAGGGGA
rnacentral:rRNA from 1 species